rnacentral:rRNA from 1 species
UACGGAGGGUGCGAGCGUUGUCCGGAAUCACUGGGCGUAAAGGGCGCGUAGGCGGCCUGAUAAGUAGGGGGUGAAAUCCUGCGGCUUAACCGCAGGGCUGCCUUCUAAACUGUCAGGCUAGAGCACGGUAGAGGCAGAUGGAAUUCCCGGUGUAGCGGUGGAAUGCGUAGAGAUCGGGAAGAACAUCAGUGGCGAAGGCGGUCUGCUGGGCCAUUGCUGACGCUGAGGCGCGACAGCGUGGGGAGCAAACAGG